rnacentral:rRNA from 1 species
AGUGAACGCUGGCGGUAGGCCUAACACAUGCAAGUCGAACGGCAGCACAGUAAGAGCUUGCUCUUACGGGUGGCGAGUGGCGGACGGGUGAGGAAUACAUCGGAAUCUACUUUUUCGUGGGGGAUAACGUAGGGAAACUUACGCUAAUACCGCAUACGACCUACGGGUGAAAGCAGGGGAUCUUCGGACCUUGCGCGAUUGAAUGAGCCGAUGUCGGAUUAGCUAGUUGGCGGGGUAAAGGCCAACCAAGGCGACGAUCCGUAGCUGGUCUGAGAGGAUGAUCAGCCACACGGGAACUGAGACACGGUCCAGACUACUACGGGGGGCAGCAGUGGGGAAUAUUGGACAAUGGGCGCAAGCCUGAUCCAGCCAUACCGCGUGGGUGAAGAAGGCCUUCGGGUUGUAAAGCCCUUUUGUUGGGAAAGAAAAGCAGCAGGUUAAUACCCCGCUGUUCUGACGGUACCCAAAGAAUAAGCACCGGCUAACUUCGUG